rnacentral:rRNA from 1 species
CGAGGUGCUGCAUGGUUGUCGUCAGCUCGUGCCGUGAGGUGUCGGGUUAAGUCCCAUAACGAGCGCAACCCCUACCUUUAGUUGCCAUCAGGUUAAGCUGGGGACUCUAAAGGAACUGCCUACGCAAGUAGUGAGGAAGCGGGGAUGACGUCAAAUCAGCACGGCCCUUACGUCCAGGGCUACACACGUGCUACAAUGGCCGAUACAGAGGGCAGCUACCUGGUGACAGGAUGCAAAUCUCCAAAGUCGGUCUCAGUUCGGAUCGGAGUCUGCAACCCGACUCCGUGAAGUUGGAUUCGCUAGUAAUCGCGCAUCAGCCAUGGCGCGGUGAAUACGUUCCCGGGCCUU